GGUCCUGACACUAGAAGGAUUGACAGAUUGAUAGCUCUUUCUUGAUUUGGUGGAUGGUGGUGCAUGGCCGUUCUUAGUUGGUGGAGUGAUUUGUCUGGUUAAUUCCGAUAACGAACGAGACUCUAGCCUAUUAAAUAACACACAGAAUCAUGUCUUCUGCGGUGUUUCUUAAUGGGAUCAAGUGUGUUUAACACUUUGAAACAGAGCAAUAACAGGUCUGUGAUGCCCUUAGAUGUUCGGGGCCGCACGCGCGCUACAUUGAAAGACAAAAUGAGCGUUUCUGGUUUUUAACAAAACUAGUAAUCUUUGAAUGUUUUUCUUAAUGGGGAUAGGGGAUUGCAAUUGUGCCCCUUGAACGAGGAAUUCCCAGUAAGUGCUAGUCA
rnacentral:rRNA from 1 species